AUUUCAAGGCUUUUUUUUUUGUUGGGCAGAUCCAAUUAUUUGAUAAGUGUUUGAAGAUGAAUUCAGGCCACUCCACAGUGUAUCCUCCACCUUCAACUGCACCUCCCCCUCCUCUUGGUUACCCUACCAAACAAGACAAUCAACAAAAUCAUGCAGUGGAAACAAAGUCCAAGGGUGAUGGAUUCUGGAAGGGAUGUUGUGCUGCAAUAUGUUGCUGUUGUGUCUUGGAUGCAUGUUUCUAAUGGCUCGGAGAUGGCAUAAUAGGAUUUUUUUUCUCAUCAUAUAUGGCAUAAUUUGGAUGUGUUUUCAUUAAUAAUGC